rnacentral:rRNA from 1 species
AUUGAACGCUGGCGGCAGGCUUAACACAUGCAAGUCGAACGAGUGGCGGACGGGUGAGUAAUGCUUGGGAAUCUAGCUUAUGGAGGGGGAUAACUACGGGAAACUGUAGCUAAUACCGCGUACCAUAGGAUGAGCCCAAGUGGGAUUAGGUAGUUGGGGACGUAAAGGCUCACCAAGCAGACGAUCUCUAGCUGGUCUGAGAGGAUGACCAUCACAACUGGGAAUGAGCCACGGCACAGACUCCCACGGGAGGCAGUGGCGGGGAAUAUUGCGCAAUGGGGGCAGCCUGACGCAGCCCUGCCGCGUGAAUGAAGAAGGCAGUCGGGUUGUAAAGGUCUUUCGGUAGCGAGGCGUUAACUACAGAAGAAGCACCGGCUAACUCCGUGCCAGCCGCCGCGGUAAUAC